rfam:Canis lupus familiaris chromosome 31, whole genome shotgun sequence.
GCCUGACUGGCUCAGUCAGUAGAGCAUGUGACUCUUGAUCUCAGGGUUGUGAAUUCAAUCUCCACAUUGGGUG